rnacentral:rRNA from 1 species
GAUGAACGCUGGCGGCGUGCCUAAUACAUGCAAGUCGAGCGAACAGACGAGGAGCUUGCUCCUCUGACGUUAGCGGCGGACGGGUGAGUAACACGUGGAUAACCUACCUAUAAGACUGGGAUAACUUCGGGAAACCGGAGCUAAUACCGGAUAAUAUAUUGAACCGCAUGGUUCAAUAGUGAAAGACGGUUUUGCUGUCACUUAUAGAUGGAUCCGCGCCGCAUUAGCUAGUUGGUAAGGUAACGGCUUACCAAGGCAACGAUGCAUAGCCGACCUGAGAGGAUGAUCGGCCACACUGGAACGAAGACACGGUCCAGACUCCUACGGGAGGCAGCGUUAGGGAAUCUUCCGCAAGGGGCGAAAGCCUGACGGGGCAACGCCGCGUGAGUGAUGAAGGUCUUCGGAUCGUAAAACUCUGUUAUUAGGGAAGAACAAAUGUGUAAGUAACUAUGCACGUCUUGACGGUACCUAAUCAGAAAGCCACGGCUAACUACGUG